AGUGAACGCUGGCGGUAGGCCUAACACAUGCAAGUCGAACGGCAGCACAGUAAGAGCUUGCUCUUACGGGUGGCGAGUGGCGGACGGGUGAGGAAUACAUCGGAAUCUACUUUUUCGUGGGGGAUAACGUAGGGAAACUUACGAUAAUACCUCAUACGACCUACGGGUGAAAGCAGGGGAUCUUCGGACCUUUCGCGAUUGAAUGAGCCGAUGUCGGAUUAGCUAGUUGGCGGGGUAAAGGCCCACCAAGGCGACGAUCCGUAGCUGGUCUGAGAGGAUGAUCAGCCACACUGGUACUGAGACACGGUCCAGACUCCUACGGGAGGCAGCAGUGGGGAAUAUUGGACAAUGGGCGCAAGCCUGAUCCAGCCAUACCGCGUGGGUGAAGAAGGUCUUCGGGUUGUAAAGCCCUUUUGUUGGGGAAGAAAAGCAGCAGGUUAAUACCCCGCUGUUCUGACGGUACCCAAAGAAUAAGCACCGGCUAACUUCGUG
rnacentral:rRNA from 1 species